GUGGGGAAUAUUGGACAAUGGGCGAAAGCCUGAUCCAGCCAUGCCGCGUGUGUGAAGAAGGUCUUCGGAUUGUAAAGCACUUUAAGUUGGGAGGAAGGGCAGUAAGUUAAUACCUUGCUGUUUUGACGUUACCGACAGAAUAAGCACCGGCUAACUUCGUGCCAGCAGCCGCGGUAAUACGAAGGGUGCAAGCGAUAAUCGGAAUUACUGGGCGUAAAGCGCGCGUAGGUGGUUUUGUAAGUUGGAGGAGAAAUCCCCGGGCUCAACCUGGGAACUGCCUCCAAAACUGCAUGACUAGAGUACGGUAGAGGGUAGUGGAAUUUCCUGUGUAGCGGUGAAAUGCGUAGAUAUAGGAAGGAACACCAGUGGCGAAGGCGACUACCUGGACUGAUACUGACACUGAGGUGCGAAAGCGUGGGGAGCAAACAGGAUUAGAUACCCGGGUAGUCC
rnacentral:rRNA from 1 species